AGCUGCACAAAAAUAUCCGGCCUCUAUAGAUCAUCCGCAUGAAGAAUGGUUGCUGAUCAAUCUCUUUGGGAGUACUAGCUCGCGAAGAUCUUUGAUGGCUGAUAUUCUUCUUCUUCUUUUGAUCCCUUAGACACUCUAGAGAGGGAGAAGAAUUAAUGGAGGAAGGAAGAGAGGAGAGAGGCUAUGUAGAAGAAACCAAUUUUCAACUAUUUCACAUGUGGGGC
rnacentral:lncRNA from 1 species